rnacentral:snRNA from 1 species
AGCUUUGCGCAGUGGCAGUAUCAGAGUCUCUUGAGGUCAAUCCGAGGCGCAUUUACAAGUAAUUGAAAACUUUACCCAAUACCCCGCCAUGAUGACUUGAAAUACAGUCAGCAUUGGCAAUUUUUGACAGGCUCUGAGGAGA